UACAGAGGUCUCAAGCGUUGUUCGGAUUCAUUGGGCGUAAAGGGUGCGUAGGCGGCGCGGUAAGUCGGGUGUGAAAUCUUGGAGCUUAACUCCGAAACUGCAUUCGAUACUGCCGUGCUUGAGGACUGGAGAGGAGACUGGAAUUUACGGUGUAGCGGUGAAAUGCGUAGAUAUCGUAAGGAAGACCAGUGGCGAAGGCGGCUCUCUGGGACGGUACUGACGCUGAGUGCGCGAAAGCCAGGGGAGCAAACGGG
rnacentral:rRNA from 1 species